UGAGGGAAUAUUGGUCAAUGGGCGGAAGCCUGAACCAGCCAAGUCGCGUGAGGGAAGACGGCCCUAAGGGUUGUAAACCUCUUUUGCCGGGGAGCAAAGCGCCGUGCGCGGUGCUAUGAGAGUACCCGGAGAAAAAGCAUCGGCUAACUCCGUGCCAGCAGCCGCGGUAAUACGGAGGAUGCGAGCGUUAUCCGGAUUUAUUGGGUUUAAAGGGUGCGUAGGCGGACAGUUAAGUCAGCGGUCAAACGGGCGGCUCAACCGCCUGCCGCCGUUGAAACUGGCAGUCUAGAGUGGGCGAGAAGUACGCGGAAUGCGCGGUGUAGCGGUGAAAUGCAUAGAUAUUGCGCAGAACUCCGAUUGCGAAGG
rnacentral:rRNA from 1 species